rnacentral:tRNA from 1 species
GGGCUCUUGGCACAAAGGCAGUGCACAUGCUUUGCAUGAACAUAAAUAGCUGUGCAUGCUUGAGGCUGUGGGUUCAAAUCCCAGAGUCCC